rnacentral:lncRNA from 10 species
CAGGGUUUCACCAUGUUAGCCAGGAUGUUCUGGAUCUCCUGACCUCGUGAUCUGCCCGGCUCGGCCUCCCAAAGUGCUGGGAUUACAGGCGUGAGCCACCGCGCCUGGCCUUCUGUUAAUUAUUGAUCAUUGCUCUAUAAUUUUUGCUUUAUGCAUUUUGAAGCUCUGUUAAUAAAUGCAUUCAGAUUUAGAAUUAUGUCUUUUGUUUUUAGCUGUAUUUUCCCCAUAUAGCAAAACAAAAAACAACCAAAAAAAACUGCUACUUGGUUUCUUCACAAUUUAUAAUUUUUAAAAAUAUAUAAAUAGAAGUGAGCAAAACGAGAGAGCAAAAAUGAAUUAUAUUCCACUUAUAGAAUCACACCAUUUUAGAAUAUGUCUUUGAAAAUGUUUUCCAUGCAUAUUGCGAUGGCCUUUUAUAACCAAAUAAUUAUGAACAUUUUUCCAUGUCAUUAUUCUUUGACAUUAUUUUUAGCAGCUGAUAUGGUUUGGAUCUGUGUCCCAGCCCAAAUCUCACAUUGAAAUGUAAUCCCCAACGCCGGAGGUGGGGCCUGGUGUGAGGUGAUUGGAUCACAGAGACAGUUUCUCAUGAAUGGUUUAGCACCAUCCCCCUUGGUGUUGUCAUCACGAUAAUGAGUUCUGAUGAGAUCUGCUAGUAUAAAAGUGUGUAGCACCUUCUCUCCCUCUCUCUCUACCUAUCUCUUCCCCCUGCUCUGGCAAUGUGAAGUGCCUCCCUCCCUCUUUACCUUCUGCCAUGAUAGGAAGCUUCCUGAGGCCUCCCCAGAAGCAGAAGCCACUAUGUUUUCUGUACAGCCUGCAGAACCAUGAGACAAUUAAACCUCUUUUCUCUAUAUAUUAUCUAGUCUCAGGUAUUUCUUUACAGCAGUGCAAGAAUGGACUAAUAUAGAAAGUUGGUACUGAGGAGUGGGGCAUUGCUAUAAAAAUAUCUGAAAAUGUGGAAGCAGCUUUGGAACUGGGCAACAGGCAGAGGUUUGAAGAGUGCAAGGGGCAGAAAAGAAGGAAGAUAAGGGAAAGUUUGGAACUUCCUAGAGAUUUGUUGAGUGGCUUUGACCAAAAUGCUGAUAGUGAUAUGGAAAAUGAAGUCCAGGCUAAGGAGGUCUCAGAUGGAAAUGAGGAACUUAUUGGGAACUGGAGUAAAGGUUACUUUUGCCAUGCUUUAGCAAAAAGCCUAGCUACAUUGCGCCCCUGCUUUAGGAAUCCAUGGAACUUUGAACUUGAGAGUGAUGAUUUACCAUGCCUAAGCAGCAAAGCAUUCAAGAUGUGGAAGAGGUGACCUGGCUGCCUCCAACAGCCUAUGCUCAUAUGCAUGAACAAAGAAAUAACCUAAAACGGGAACUUAUAUUUAAAAAGAAAAGCAGAGCAUAAAAGUUUGAAAAAUCUGCAACCUGGCCAUGUGGUAGAAAAGAAAAUUCCAUUUUCAGGGGAGGAAUUCAAGCAGGCUGCAGAAAUUUGCAAAAGUAAAAAGAAGGAGUCAACUGUGAACAGCCAAGACAAUGGGGAAAAGGACUGGAAGGCAUUUCAGAGGCCUUCCUGGAAGCCCCACCCAUCACAGGCCCUGAGGCCUAGAAGGACCGAAUGGUGAUAGUGAUUUCUCAUGAGAUCUGGUUGUUUACAAGUGUGUAGUACCUCCUUACUCUCUCUUUUCCUCCUGCUCCAGCAAUGUGAAAUGCCAGCUCCCCCUUCACCUUCUGCCAUGAUUGUAAGUUUCCUGAGGCCUCCCCAGAAGCUAAGCAGAUGCUGCCAUGCCUUCUAUAUAGCCUGCAGAGCUGUGAGCCAAUUAAACCUCUUUUCUCUAUAAAUUACCCAGUCUCAGGUAUUUCUUUAUAGCAGUGCAAGAACAGACUAAUACAGUGGCUAUAUAAUAUUCCAUUAUGUGGAUGAUCAUAAUGAAAUUAACUUCACAUUACAUUUACAUUUAUUUCUUUAAUGUUAAUCUUACAGUUAUUCAUUAAUUGGAAUCUUCCUUUCAACUCUUUUGUCAUUUGUUCCAUUACCUUUCCUCUCAGUUUAGGAGAAUCCACAGAUAUACUUGGCAAGAGCUCUCCAUCUGCUCUAAGAUGUAGAUAUAAAUAUUUCACAAUACAAGCCCCAGGUGGAGUCCUGUGUUCAACUUCUAGAGCUAUCUACCCAAUCAACAGCCAUUCCUUCCAUAUUCUUCAGAAAUAUUCUCUCAACCAAUUCUGUAUCUGCCUACGUACACUGUUAUCUUUCUUCUAAAACAUGGUUCUGAAUACUGUGUUGUGGGAAGCUAAGUAAUUUCACUGAUUUUUUGUUGUUAAGGUAGAGACCUUGGAAAGUCAUUUAUGUACCAUAUUUGGCACCUAUAGUAGACUCUAUUGAAGCCCUCCUAGAUCCCCUGAAAUCCCUAUCACCAGCUCCACAUGCCCACUCUCCACCUCUGUGUUUUUUGUUGCUAACAGCUUGCACUGAUGACUUUCAGAAGACUGACUGGGGGCACCAAAGCUGCUUCCCUCUGAAAAUUUUACACUUUAUCCUGGGAAACCUAUAAGCAAUAACUGACUAAUUUGAGAGUAUAAAGCCCAGCUCCUUUGAUUCAAGGUGGUAAAUGCUGGGGUGUAAUUCACCCCAGAACUCCUCAUGGGAUCAGGCUGAGUCUGGGACCUGAUAUCCAAUCUUUGCCUGGAUUCUUUCCUUUCCCUAUCCUGUUUCUCCCAUCCUACAGAUUUCUCCUGAGAGCAGUUCCUUUAUAAAUCACCUACACCAGACUCCUCAGCCCAGGCUUUUCUUUUGGUAGCAACUAACCUUAAGACAGCAUCCAGAUAACGUCCAAAGCAUCACUCAAAGUAGAUUCCUUCCCAGGCCCCACUCACACUCUUACUACCCAACACCUUCCAAAUCCAAAAGCACUGCUGUGCUGAACUGUAAAACCACUUGACAUCUGAAUAUCUAUGCUUGCAUUCAAAGAAUAAUGAGGGUUUUUAUUCACUUUGCAAAAGAAUUCACAACAAGGCUCCCAAUGUAGGGAACUCUAGCGUAUGUUUAAAGUAACAUCACAAAAUUUUACCCCAAAGAAUGACAUAGGGUAACUUUCCAGAAAUGACACAUCCCAUACAAGGCAGUGCCCCAUAUACCAACCCAAUCACUGAGACUUUGAAAUUUUUCUCUGUGAAAGUGGCUUUCUCCUGGGGCCUCCUGGUAAGUUUCUGACUCUUUUCCUCAGCUCCCUCCCUCAUACCCUGAAGGGAGUUGCCAUGGUGACUGUGGGACUGUGACCUCCAGGGUAGCUCAGGCUCAGAAGAAAGGGUUUCCCCAGGGUGGCUGAGAAGCAAGGAGCAGAGACACAAAUGGCAUUCUCUUCAGUCAGUGGGCAAAUGUUUAACGAGUUUAUGUCGAGGCGUGUGUUGGGAAAGUGCUGGACCAUCUUCAGAUGCAGCACAGGUGACUCUGGGCCCACUCUGCUACUCAUGGGUAGAGGUGUUAACAAUACACUCGCCCUGAUCCUGAUUCAGACAGAUGCCUGCAGCAAAAGAAAGUCACUCUCAGGGAGGCAGUUGGGACUAACUGGCUCUAAUUCAUUAUUGGAGCUCACUGAUAUCAAGAGAAGGUCAAACUACAUAUGUAAAUGAGGCUGUUUUUAUCCCAGGAUCUAAACCCACUUAACCAAGAAAAUGCAAACUACCUCACUUUUGUUGAAUUAGCUCAUUUGAAUAGUUGAAUAGGAGAGAAGCCAGGGAGGGGCAAAUGGCCCUGAACUCAGGAACUUGCCCACCCCUGAACAUGGAGACCUCACUCAAUUCUUUCUUCAGUACUUUUUUUCCACAUUAUUAAUUUCUGUCUUUUUUUUUUUUUCAGGCAGAGUCUCACCCUGUCACCCAGGCUGGAGUGCAAUGGCGCCAUCUCAGCUCACUGCAACCUCCCUCUCCCGGGUUCAAAUGAUUCUCCUGCCUCAGUCUCCCAAGUAGCUGAGAUUACCAGUGCCCACCACCACGCCCAGCUAAUUUUUUUGGGGGGGCGGGGGACGGAGUCUCUCUCUGUCUCCCAGGCUGGAGUGCAGUGGCACGAUCUCGGCUCACUGCAAGCUCUGCCUCCCAGGUUCACGCCAUUCUCCUACCUCAGCCUCCCGAGUAGCUGGGACUACAGGUGCCCGCCACAAUGCCCCGCUAGUUUUUUUAUAUAUUUUUAGUAGAGACGGGGUUUCACCAUGUUAGCCAGGAUGGUUUCGAUCUCCUGACCUCGUGAUCUGCCUGCCUCGGCCUCCCAGAGCGCUGGGAUUACAGGCGUGAGCCACCGCGCCCGGCUAAUUUUUGUAUUUUUAGUAGAGAUGGGGUUUCACCAUGUUGGCCAGGCUGAUCUCGAACUCCUGACCUCAUGAUCUGCCCACCUCGGCCUCCCAAAAUGCUGGGAUUACAGUCGUGAGCCACUGCACCUGGCCAAUAUUUGUCAUUACAAAUUAAUUUUUUAGCAAUAGGGUCUCAUGCUGUCACCCAGGCUGGAGUGCAGUGGUGCAAUCAUGGCUCACUGUAACCUUGAACUCCUGGGUUCAAACUCCUUCUGCCUUACCUUCCCAAAGUACUGAGCUACUGCACCUGGCCCAAUGCAGACUUCUAAAGUUAAAGUCUUCCCUUCCUUAGCUCCCACUGCUGUCACUUCAGCUUCACUCGUGAAUGUCAACUUUCACCAUUUUUUCUAACUUAACCGUCAAAGAUAUGGGACUGGGAAGAGGCAGACCAUGACCAUAGAACAGAGAGGAGGCUGAAGUCAUAAGAGAAGAGUUUGCUCUAGGAGGCUGGGAAAACCAAGUUGGACAGCAUUUGGCAUCUAUAAUACUCUUUGUUCUGCUUUAAAUGGUCCUCCUCUUAUGGGAAUAGAACCCUUCUCCCAUAUCCCUUUAGCCAGCUCACUCCUACUCAUCCUUCAAAACCCAGCUCAAACAUCACUGCCUCUGAAAAGCCUUCUCUGAUCCACCCACAAGCUGACCUGGAGACCCCUCUGUGCAUAAUUCUAUUCUAGCACUCGUCACAUCACCCCCUGACCCAUCAGUUUCUUGUCAGUCUCCCUUUCAGACUGAGUGCUCCUUUAGAGCAGGACACUCCCUGAAGCACAGUUCCACCCUCAGGAUCUAGCCCCUCUGAGAGUAUUCAAAAAAGGAUUUGAACAAAUUUAGCAAAUUGUUCUUCAGCAGCACUGUGCCAGGUGCUGUGGAGGUGACAGAUGGAUUAUAGCACAUGACCCCUGAUCUCAGAGAGAUCAAAAACUAGCUGAGACAUAAGAACGCACUAACAUUGAAACAACAGCCUGUGAAAGCAAUUACAUUUAAGUAGACUAUUAUGUCAUUGAGAAUGCACGUGUUCCAGAAGGCCUGGGCUGCAUGUGCGGGGGGCACAGGAAAGAAUCAGGGAGAAUGUGGGACUUGAUUUGGGUCUUGGUUGUGGGCGAAGUCUGGAUGUGGGACUUAAGGGUGGGUGGGAUUUGGACAGAGGGUAAGAGGAAGUGAGGGCAGCUGGUAAGAGGGCAAUGGGCAAAAGUAUGGGUGUUAUUUUUAAAGACAGGGUCUUGCUCCAUCACCCAGGCUGGAGUGCAAUGGCACAAUCAUGGUUCGCUGGAAUCUCAAACUCCUGGGCUCAAAGUGAUCCUCCUGUGUCAGCCUCCCCCGUAGCCAGGAUUCUUCAAUACCUCCAUAAUAUUCUAUAAUAUUUAAGUACUAGAAACAGUGGAGGGACUGAAGUGACCAGAGCAGAGAGUUUGUGCUGGGAAGAGGAGGAAAACUGAGUUGGACAGCAUCUAGCCUCCCGGCAAGGAAUUUCUGAAUUAUGGAUAAAUAUGCAUAUUGCCUCCCAGAUUCCAAGAGCUGAUUAUGGCACUCUGCCACGUAUGCUGAAGAUGUGUUCAUGUGUUUCUCCCACUCAACUGUGGGCUUCUGGUCAGUCUGGAGUGUAAUUGGCAGAAUAAUGCCCCUCUCCCCUUACCCACCCCCACGCACAAAGAUGUCCACAGCUUAAUCCCUGGAACCUGUCAAUACGUUUUGUUACAUGGCAAAAAGGAAUUAAGCUAGCAGCUGGACUUAAGGUCACUAACCAACUGACUUUAAAACAGGGAGAUGAUCUGGAUUAUUGGCGUGAGCCCAAUGUAAUCACAUGGAUCCUUCAAAGUGGAACAGAAGCAGAGAGUCAGAGGGAAAUGUGACUACAGAAGGUCAGGGUGACACAGUGGGAAGGAUUUGGCUCAAUGUUGCUGGCUUUGAGAAUGGAGGAAGGCUGGGCGUGGUGGCUCACACCUGUAAUCCCAGCACUUUGGGAGGCCAAGGCAGGCAGAUCACCUGAGAUCAGGAGUUGGAGACAAACCUGGGCAACGCGGUGAAACUCCAUCUCUACUAAAAAUACAAAACUUAGCUAGGUGUGGUGGCACAUGCCUGCAAACCCAGCUACAUAGGAGGCUGAGGCAGGAGAAUUGCUUGAACCUGGGAGGUGGGGGUUGCAGUGAGCCGAGAUUGCACCACUGCACUCCAGCCUGGGCAACACAGUGAAACUCCGUCUCAAAAACAUAAAAAAGAGAAUGGAUGAAGGAGGCAAGAAGUCAAGGAAUGUGGGGGGCUCUAGAGGCUGGAAAAGGCAAGGAGAUAGGCUCUCCCCAGAGCCUCCAGAAAGGAACAUGUCCUUGCCAACAUCUUGAUUUUAGCCCAGGAGACCCAUUUCGGACUUCCAACCCAGAAAACCAUAAGACAAUUAGUAUUGUUUAAGGUAGGGAGGCCCCGACCCCCAGGCAGUGGACCGGUACCAGUCAGUGGCCUGUUAGGAACCGGGCCACAUAGCAAGAGGUGAGUGGCAGGCGAGCAAGCAUUACUGCCCAAGCUCUGCCUCCUGUCAGAUCAGCGGUGGCAUUAGAUUCUCAUAGGAGAGUGAACUCUAUUGUGAACUGCGCAUACGACGGAUUUAGGUUGCACACGCUUUGUGAGAAUCUAAUGCUUGAUGAUCUGAGGUGGAACAGUUUCAUCCACAAACCAUCUCCCCCCACCCCAUCCCCAUCCAUGGAAAAACUAUCUUCCACAAAACCAGUCCCUGGUGGCACAAAGGUUGGGGACCACUGGUUUAAAGCACUAAAUGGAAGGUAAUUUGUUACAACAGCAAUGGGAAACUAAUAUAGGAGGGACCUAUAUGUGCAUACGUCUCAUCUGUAUUUACAUACAUGCAUAACUUGGCUCCAGUAAAUUGAAGUGUUCAGAAAUGAUUACUUAAUGAAAUUACAUAAAGAAUUCCUUUCGGUCAGGCGCGGUGGCUUAUGCCUGUAAUCCCAGUACUUUGGGAGGCUGAGGCAGGAGGAUUGCUUGAGCCCAGGAGUAACAAGACCAGCUUGGGCAACAUAGCAAGACUUUAUCUCUAUUAAAAAUAAAAAAAAUUUAGUCAGACAUCGUGGUGCAUGCCUGUGGUCCCAGCUACAUGAGAGGCUGAGGCAGGAGGAUUUCUUGAGCCCAGGAGGUUGAGGGCUGCAGUGAGCCAUGAUCAUGCCACUGCAUUUCAGCCUGAGUGACAGAGGGAAGAGACCGUGCCUCAAAAAUAAAUUAUUUUCAUCACAGUAUUAUUUACAGUAGCAAAGACAUGGAAUCAACCUAGGUGUCCAUCGAUGGUGGGUUGGACAAAGAAAAUGGUGUACACAUACACCAAGAAAUACUAUGAAUCACUAAAAGGGAAUGAAAUCAUGCUCUUUGCAACAACAUGGAUGCAGCUGGAGGCCAUUAGCCUAAACCAAUUAACGCAGGAACAGAAAACCAAAUACCAUGUGUCCUCACUUAUAAGUGGGAGCUAACCCUUGGGUAUUCACGGACAUAAAGAUGAUAACAAUAGACACGGGACUAUACUAGAGUGGGGAGAGAGGGAGGCAGGCAAGGGUUGAAAAACUAACUCUUGCGUUCAAUGCCCACUACCUGAGUGACAGGAAUCAAUCAUACCCAAAUCUCCACAUCACACAAUAUGCCCAGGUAACAAACCUGCACCUGUAUCUCCUUAAUAUAAAACAAAAGUGGAAAUUAUUUUUUAAAAAAAGAAUUCCUCUUGUUUCAACAUCUCUCCCAGAAAACAAAAACCGAACUCCAUCCAUAUACCCAUUGCUUGUAGCCGUGUGCUUCAAGUCAGUUUGCUCUUUAGCACAGACUUUGAUUUCGCUAUUAUAAAUAACACUAUAGCCAGCCAGGUGCAGUGACUCACACCUGUAAUCCCAGCACUUUGGGAGGCUGAAGCGGUGGAUCUCUUGAGGUCGGGAGUUUGAGACCAGCCUGGCCAACAUGGGGAAACCCCGUCUCUACUAACAGUACAAAAAAAUUAGCCAGGCACAGUGGUGGGCGCCUGUAAUCCCAGUUACUCAGGAGUCUGAGGCAGGAGAAUCACUUGAACCUUGGGAGGUGGAGGUUGCAGUGAGCUGAGAUCACGCCACUGCACUCCAGCCUGGGCAACACAGUGAGACACCAUUUCAAAAAUAAAUAAAUAAAUAAAACUAGAGCAAGCAUCUUUCCUCUGUUUUUGAUGAAAUUUGUUUAUCCUAAAUGAAAUUAAUGAGUCAAAAAUGACGCACAUUUUGUGUGGCUCUUCACUCAUUUAGCCAGCUUACUUUCCACAGAGUUUGCACUAAUCUACACACUCACUCACAACGUGGGAGAGCACCACCCUCUGCCACAACUGGGCCCGGCAGGGGACACAUGCACAGUCCCCUCCUUGCACAUUCAACUUUUUCCUGCUCCAAUAUCGACUGCAUAACUUCAGGCUCAAGUGGGGCCCUCCACAGUAAGCAGAGAUCCUAAACACUGCGUUGUGGUAGAAAAAGUGAUUUCUCUGUAGCCACAAGGAACAUUCUUUAGGGAUAAUGCUGGUCCAGGAGGGAGGAGUCUGAACAUCCCUAGUUUAUUUUAUCAGCAAUUGCAAUGAGAGGGUUUUGUUUGUUUGUUUGUUUGUUUGUUGGAGUUGCAAGAGAUGAUCUGCCUGUUCAGGGAGCUGGUCAUCUUCCACUGCCCUCAAAUAGAAAGCCUGGAAAUUGUACCUGACUGACCCAAAAGAAAAAGCUGGUUUAUUUAAAAGUCUGGUUCCUUUAUCCCCUUUGCAAUACAGUGGUAGGUUUUUGGUUUGUUUUGUUGGUGGUGUUUUUGUUUGUUAUUUUGUUUGUGUUUUUAACGAGUUCUUUGGUGACUAUGCUAAAAAGACCAUCAUGGAAGCAAGAACAUCAAUAAUUUUUUCACCCACUUCCAGCCCCCAGGACAGAGACAGACCUGGAGGCUUCAUCGUCCCUUAGGACUGACUAUCUUCCUUGCUUCAGGGAAGAAAAAAAUCGUAUGACAAUGUUGCUUGCCUUGGCUUGCCUGUGGGUGUGGGGGAUACAGUCCAGGCACGGAGAGGCACCCGAGUAGGAGCAGGAUAAAAGGGCCUCCCAGAGAUUUAGGCUCAGAGACUCCAGGGAGAUUGGGCAGUCGCUGUCCCAGACGCUAUCAUGAGCUCUCAGCCUGAUGCUUCCAUGUGAAAUGGGGCCAAUCAGAUCUAGCCCUAGGACGACAGUCCCCCCCUGCACCCAGAGGCACAGUCUGGGACUCUGGCAGGCCUAAAGUAACUAGGUUUUGCCUGCACAUGUUUGAUCCAAAGAGUGGAAAAAGCCUUUGGACUCCGGAGGUCUUCACUGGGGUCCUGGCCGCUCUCCAGACUUUCCUCGUGACCGGGGGCCUUCGGUUCCCUGGGCCUCGGGUUCUCUCUCUGUGAAGUGGCCAAACAAUCCUGCCUCCCAGGGAGCGAGCACGCGGCUUGUCCGGGGAGAAAAGAGCAACAAAUAUUUAUAAAUCCAUCACUGAGGUGGCGCUGAAACAGCUGACGGAGCGAAGCCUGACCCAGUCGGGUCCCGGGCCCUCCACGGGGGUCUGCGUCCUCCCGCUGCCUCCCACCCACCCCUGACAGGGCGGGGCAGACCUCUCGGGCAACUUCCCAGACUAUGAAUUUCCUUUGGCACUUUGAGGCUCCCCCAGGAGGAUUCAUGAGACCGCAGCAGGAAAUGAGGAACAUAUUUUUAAAUCAGAAGGGGGAAGCAAUGUCUUUCUGUCAGAUAAGUGGCCUGGAUCCAGGGCUGAGAGACUGUGGCGCAUUUCUCCUCGCAGACAGCAGGUGCUCUUCGAGAUGUGGUUAUGGCAACAAAAUAAAUGAUGGAUAAUUGCUUUUGUGACAACUUGCCAAUUAAAUUAGACUCAGCAGAAUAACAUAAUGACAAUUUGUUAUGCUCCGAUGGGCACUAACAUACCGAUCAUAAUUAAAUGCUAUGACUGAAAUAGAAUACCGCUCAACGCAGGAAUAUACAACCCCAAUUCCCUCUCUGUGAAACUUUAUAGGUUGAGGCUUGAUUUUAAUUUCAGGAAGAUAAUGGCAUUAGCUCAUAUCCGAGUGGGUUUGUGGAGAGGCCUGUGGUGAGGGGAGAUGGGCCUGAGCAGGAAGGCGAUGCCUGUAAGGAAACACCCGGGGGGCUGAACUCCAAGGUCAAGGGGAAGGGCUGAGGAGCCCUGUCGUGAAAAUAGUGCUUGCUGGUCUGGGAAAUGGAGGCAAAGGAGGAGCAGAGCAGGGAAAUGGAGGCAAAGGAGGAGGCCCUCGCCCAUGGUCUGCAGUGACAGGGCCCGUGCUGUGAACAACUCCAGGCCUCCACGCUGAAUGUGUGGGGCAUGUCCUUGAACAAGGAGCCCAGACUCACAGGUGAUGUUAAAGAGGAGCUUAGGGGCGACUUGGUGCUAGGCAUGUACAGCAAGUAGUAGAAGUGAGAAGUCCACUCAGUCUGCAGAUGCCCUGCCUUCCCCUGCCCCUGGUGACAGCUGAUUGGGCCAGAAGUGAAUAGCUGACCCAAGGUGGGCCAAUCAAAUUCUUCCUCUGGAAACUUUGCAGGUGAGCUACUGAGCUAAUUCUAUAAAACAGUCAUACAUGUACAGAUUGAUGUGUAAGCACUUCCCUAUAUUAUAAUAUACAUACAGGACACGCACAUAUAAAAGCUGCAACUCGACUGUCAAAAACUUGACCUAAACGUGAUAUUCUAGGUAUUGAUUGUGUAUUCAAGUUUUAAUAUAUUUGUUGAUGAAUUCCCAAACCAUUCCAUAAAAGAUUUGAGGUGGCUUUUGAAAAAAUCAAGUAAGAAUAAUUCUGUUUGCUGUUUUUAGAGUUUAAAAGGGGUUUCUAUAUAGACAAAAAGGAUAGUUGGUGAGGUCUCUCUCUCUUUUUUUUUUCUUUUUUUCUUUCUUUUUUUUUUUUUUUUGACAGAGUCUCGCUCUGUUGCCCGGGCUGGAGUGCAGUGGUGCAGUCAUAGCUCACUGCAGCCUCGAAUUCCUGAGCUCCAGUGAUCCUCCCACCUCAGGCUCCCAAGUAGCUGGGACUAUGGACGCGCACCACCAGACCUGGCUAACUUUUGUAUUUUUUUGUAAAGACAGGGUUUCACCAUGUUGCUCAGGCUGGUCUCGAAUUCCUGGGCUCAAACAAUGCACCUGCCUUGGCCCCCCAAAUUGCUGAGAUUGCAGGCGUGAGUCACCUCACCCAGCCUCUCACUUUCUUGCUUACAAAUCUCAAUUUUUUAAAAAACAAAGUAAUGCAAAAAUAAAUUAUAUAUUUAGUAAUCUAAAGUGUUUAAAAUAAAAACUCAUGCUCCUCAAUCCUACUCCCCAGUGAUGAUCACUGACAUCAACUCGGUGUAUAUCCUCCGAGCCUUUCUUCUCUGCCUGAGCCAUCCUUUAAAUGUGAAAAUGGCUCCAAGGUUAUUUAUGGGUACAAUGAUAGGGUAUAUGGGAUUUGCUUCACAUUAAUCCAUGGGUGAAGGAGACAAUGAAUGGGAUGGAAAAAGAAUAGCCAAGAGCUUAAAAUUGUUGCAACCAGCCGGGCGCACUGGCUCACGCCUGUAAUCCCUGCACUUUGGGAGGUCGGGGGGAGUGGAUCAUUUGAGGUCAGCAGUUCAAGACCAGCCUGGCCAACAUGGUGAAACCCCGUCUCUACUAAAAAAAAAAAAAAAAAAAAAAAUUAGCUGAGCGUGGUGGUACACGCCUGUAAUACCAGCUACUCGGGAGGCUGAGGCAGGAGAAUUGCUUGAACCUGGGAGGCGGAGGUUGCAGUGAGCCAAGAUCGCACCACUGCACUCCAGCCUGGGCGACAGAGUGAGGCUUCAUUUCAAAAAUAUAUAUAUACAUAUAUAUAUAUGUAUAUAUAUAUAUUUUUUGCAACCAGGUGAUGAGAUGUGGAGUUUCAUUACACUAUACUCUUUACUUUUAAUGUGUUUUAAAAAUUCUACGGGUGGUGGCUCAUGUCUAUAAUCCUUGCACUUUAGGAGGCUGAGGCGGGCAGAUCGCUUGAGGUCAGGAGUUCAAGACCAGCCUGAGCCACAUGGCAAAACCCCGCCUCUACAAAAAAUACAAAAAUUAGCCAGGUGUGUUGGCUCAUGCCUGUAGUCCCAGCUACUGGGGUGGCAGAGGCAGGAGAAUUGCUUGAACCUGGGAAGUGGAAGCUGCAGUGAGCCGGGAUCUCACCACUGCAUUUCAGCCUGGGUGACAAAAUGAGACCCUCUCUCAAAAAAAAAAAAUAUACAGUACACCAGGUAUAGUGGCUCAUGCCUAUAAUCCCAACACUGGGAGGUCAAGGCAGGAGGAUCCUGCCUUGAGGUCAGGAAUUCUAAACUGACUUGGUCAACAUAGUAAGAUCCCCGUCUCUACAAGAGAAAAAAAAAUUAAGUUAGCCCGGCAUGGUGGUGAGCACCUGUAGUCCCAGCUACUGAGGAGGCUGAGGUAGGAGGAUUGCUUGAGCCCAGGAGUUCAGAGCUGCAGUGAGCCCUGACUACAUCACUGAAUUCCAGCCUAGCUGACAGAGAGAGACUCUGUCUCAACAAACAAACACACAAACAAACAAAAACUACAAUCAUAGCUUACAUUUUUAACUACUGUUUUACCUUUUUUUCUUUUAAAAAAUAGAAUUUUGCCUUAUGUGCCAUUCAUCAGUUUACUCUUUAAAAAAACUAACAGCUUGUUGUGGACAUAGCUCCAUGUCUGCACAGCUAUUCUUUCUCAUAGUUUUCCAUUGUAUGGAUUUUCUACAACUUAACCAACCUCUGUUACCCUGAAGGACUAUUUGCAGUGUUUUUCUAUACCAAAGAAUGCUAAGUAAACACACUUAGGCAUACAUCUCUUCUCUCUUGAAGAAGGUUUCCGUAUGACACAUUCCUAAAAGCAUAAUUUCUGGCUCAAUGGGAAAAUGUAUUUUAAAUUUGACUGCAACUGCCAGGCUCUUCAUCAAAAAUGUUAUGGCAAGUCUUAGUUUUGUCAGCUAUGGAUGCCUUUUUAUCUGUAUCCUUCCAAAACACUGAGUACUAGCAAUCUGUUUAAUUUUGGCUAAUUUUGAUAGGGAAACUACAUCUCCUCUUGGUUUUAGUUGUGUUGUUUUGUAUUUUGUUGCUAAUUUAGAGUAUCAUUUCAUGCUUUCUAUGCCAUAUGUGUUUCUUCUUUGUGACUUGCCCAGAUGUCACCUGUGUUCAUUUAUCUAUGGUAUUUCUUUUUCUUACUGAUCUGUAGGACAUUUUUGUAUAUUAUGGAUGUUAUACUUUUAUCAGUUACGUAUGUUUAAAAUAUUUUCUUCCAUUCUUUAACUUUUGUUUGUGACAUUUUUCACCAUAUAGAAGUUGUUAUUGUUGCUUGUUUGUUUAUGUAGUUAGGACUGUUGUUCUUUUCCUGCUGUCUUCUGGUUUUUGUGUCAUGCUCAAAAAGGACCUAUUUUUUUUCUAGCACUUUUAUUGUUUUAAUUUUUAUUUUUAAGCCUUUAAUCCAUUUCGGAUUUAUUUCAGGUAUGGAACCAGAAAACGGGCACAGGAACCAAAUUUGAAUUUUCUCUGAAAUUCACAACCUUUCCCUGUUUAUGUAAUAAACCAUCCUUUUCUCACUGAUGUGAAAUGCUAUUUUUGUCAUAUAUUUAAUUAUCAUAUAUACACAGAUUUUUUUCUAGACUCCCUGUUGUACAUAUUCCCCUGGUCUAAUUGCCUAUUCCUAUACAUGUACCAUGCUGUUUUCAUGGUUGUUGCUUUAUAAUACAUUUGAUAGCUAGUAUUAUAUACAUAAUAUUAUAUGCUUAUAUUUCAAAUUUUUAUUUUGGCUAAUUUUAUCCUUCCAGUUAAACUUUAUUAUCAAGUUGC